ensembl:lncRNA
UUUUGCUUUUGGUAACAUGUGUUUUCUGCAGACAUACACCCUAACCCUAAGACAUACACAAUACCUGGAAGUGUCACAAACCAUUUUGAGUAUUUAGAAAAAUGCCUGUGUUUGACUAUUUGUUUGCAGAACUGAAUUGUAUGAUAAUGUCAUUCAACCUAUUUUAUGUGGAAAGAUCAUUCAGGGGUGGCUAGUUCUAAUUAGUCUUUUUUUGUAAAAAUGUUUUAAGCAUAAAACAUUUUAAAGCAUGUAUUGAAUAUCUGUGUACAAUUCUUGUAUAUCUUUUUUUUUCCUUAAACGAAUAACAACCCUAAUGCCAGCCAGUUCAAGUACAUCUUUAGGAUGUAAAGCUGAUGGCCCAGUGUGGGGUUGUUAAACCAUGCAGAGGCAAUGUGACGGCACAGGAUAACACAGAGUCCCUACCAGCUGUCAUCGAAACCUCUACAAGCCUGUCAGCUGUAGAUGUGUCCUCUGCAGCAGGAGGAGAAGAUCUUCCAUCCCCGUUUGCUGACAUUCCUGCCCUAGUACAUGAUCACAGCUACCUUCCCGUCCACUUCGAUGGUCUUGUGGACAACGCUCUCAUGUACAUUUCAGGCUCUGAAGAAGCUGUCGUGUGAUGUCUGCCGUGCCAGCCUGGUGACAUGCUGCAUCUGCCAUCAAGGACCAGAGCUACCACAUGCUGAAUUUAAAAAACAAUGGAGGUCUGGUGAUUCCAUCAGAGGGAACCAUGAGUGUCAUCAGGGCAGCAGAGUGGGUCAUUCGGCAGUCAUCAGGCAGUACCAGACAAUCACAGCCCAUCAAACUGCUUGAGGUUGUUUACAUUGUCUGAAAAAGGAUCGGUUCAGAGGAUGUUUGUGUUGGGAUAGACAGUAUGACAUCCAUAGGCUGUUAAAAAUAAUUCUGUCCCUGUUUUUUAAGUUAAGGCUGCACCACAUCGCCAGAAUUACAAUCCUCAGCUUACAGAGCAACAACAUGCGACAAACUUAAUAAAACUGUCCUUUUCAAAGGGCAUUAGCCCAAGGUAUGUGUUUUCAAGGUACUGUCCUCUUUUACUUCAACAGUAGUGUAGUGCUCUCUACAGCAUUUAUUUAUUUGUGUAAAUAUAAAUGAUUUAUUUAUAUUUGUAAAGGGGAAUCAUGUACCUAUUUUUUGUGUGCAAAUAAAUGUCAC